GAUGAAGAACGUAGCGAAAUGCGAUAAGUAAUGUGAUUUGCAGAAUUCAGUGAAUCAUCGAAUCUUUGAACGCACAUUGCGCCCGCCAGUAUUCUGGCGGGCAUGCCUGUUCGAGCGUCAUUUCAACCAUCAAGCCCCCGGCUUGUGUUGGGGACCUGCGGCUGCCGCAGGCCCUGAAAAGCAGUGGCGGGCUCGCUGUCACACCGAGCGUAGUAGCAUACAUCUCGCUCUGGGCGUGCUGCGGGUUCCGGCCGUUAAACCACCUUCAUAACCCAAGGUUGACCUCGGAUCAGGUAGGAAGACCCGCUGAACUUAAGCAUAUCAAUAAGCGGAGGA
rnacentral:misc_RNA from 1 species